AGAGCUCUGACCGGCCGGAACGCUCAUGCACAGAAACCCGAGGGAGGCUACAGCAUAAAUCUGGGAGAAAAAGCCGGAUUGCAUCAGAACACUCUGCUAAAGGCUUCAGAAAAAGAGGGUUUUACUAAGAACUCCUCUGCAUGACAAACCAACAGAGUUAAAACUUUUCAGCUACAAAAUGAAGACCAUAAUGCAGGGCCUCAAGGAACAGCAGAAAGGAAAUCAGCAGGACCAGCACGUCCACGAGCCCAACAAACAUCCAUUCCUACCUCCUGGGAGGGAGUUUACUCUAGCAGCAGGAGGGGUCAGCCAAGCACUAGUUCAUCAUUUAGCAGCAAGGCAUUCCCUGGGAAAUAUUUCACUCUCUUA